rnacentral:tRNA from 1 species
GGGCUGGGGCUCAGUGGCAGAGCACUUGCCUAGUAUGUGUGAGGCACUAGGUUCAAUCCUUAGCACCACA